rnacentral:rRNA from 1 species
AUUGAACGCUGGCGGCAGGCCUAACACAUGCAAGUCGAACGAGAGUCGGACGGGUGAGUAAUGCACGGGGACUGCCGGCCUGAGGGGGAGAACUACUGGUAACGGUAACUACUACCGCAUCCUAUCGGAUAACCCAUAUGGGUUGAGCUAGUAGGUGAGGUAAUGGCUCACCUAGGCGAGGAUCCCUAGCUGGUCUGAGAGGAUGAUCAGCCACACUGGGACUGAGAAACGGCCCAGACUCCCGGGGGGGAAGAGGUGGGAAAUAUUGCACAAUGGGGGCAAGCCUAAUGCAGCCAUGCCGCGUGGAUGAAGAAGGCUCUAGGGUUGUAAAGUACUUUCAGUCGGGAGGCGUUACCGAAAGAAGAAGCACCGGCUAACUCCGUGCCAGCAGCCGCGGUAAUAC